CUAUCAAGUAUCGUUAUCGGUUCUUUAUCAAUUUCGUUUUUAAUUAUCGACGACACCUUCGCUACGUCAGAGUGACGAGGUACCCCACUUUUAAGGCGACUUCCGGUCAGCGUCGUCUCCCGUCACUCCUGGAAUAAUCAGUAAGUCCCGGUUCACCACUCUGAAAAUUUUCUUGCCGUCUCUUGGUCAUUUUUCCACCAGUCCCUUCCGGUUUACGUGUACGCCGCUGGGCAGUGGUCACCUCCGACAGCGCAUUGGUCACCUUAAUAUCUACCCCUACCUUUGAGACGAUUCUUGGUUUUUAAGAUUUUUCCGGCGACAUUUUUCCGAGAGUGUUCACGGUGGUGAAGACUUGUGUCAUUUUUGCGCACCAAAUUUUUCGUUGCUUGAAAACCCUCAGCAGCCACUUGAGGGUUUUUCCUUUUCUUGUCUGGUACCGUGUGCGACGUCGAACCAAGCCAAGAUUUUUUGACGACGCCAUCUUGAAGGCGGCACGGCUUCUCGUUUGACUUUUUUGAAGCUCUCGAAUUUGAGGACGGCCUGGAACAUUUUCGCCGGUACGCCAGAAAUAAUUUACCGCUAAUCGGAACAUCACUAUCUCUGGAAACGCCCAAGGUCAGAUUUUUCCAAUCUAUGAAUUUGCGCCCUACACGUCAAAUAUAGUUCCAUCGCCCUUCAGACACUAUUCUAAAGAAGUAUUCUUAGUUAUAAUUAAUUCGUUGUAAACCAAGCUUACGUAAGCGCGGCCUUUAAUUGUGUCGAAAUAAGUAGUGUGAAUAUUUUAAUCUAUAUUUUUUUUCUUUCUAAUUUGAUAAAUCGGUUGUCCCUUUCUUAUGUAUUUUUUUUUUUCAAUAGUUUGAAACUAAAUUGGUAGUUGCUAGUUUCAUAAAACAUUUUAUUUACUAACUACCUGGCGCCCACUAAUCAGUCUCCCCCUUACAUCCUUUCAAUAAAAUCGACUGCAAAGAGGUUAAAUUUCGAGAGAACCUGCGACCCGCCGCCGAAACAACUGAGUGCCGUACG